AAAGAUGAUACUCAACUUUAAAUGGUGAAGCAUUCAAGGCCAUGAAAUACUGGCCAACUUGCAGCUAUUGUUGAACCUUUAAUUGAAGCAAAGCUUGCUAUGCUCUGAUUUCCUUUUACUUGUCUUUCUUCUCUUUUUUGGCUUCCUGCUUUUGGUAUAAAAGGAUCUGACUGAGAAUGGUACCAUUGGUGAUGACACCAAUGGUGGAGCCCAAAACAACACUACUUGGAGCUUUUUCUUGCACACUAGUAAAAACCCUCACCAUAGAACCCGCAAAAUUCAAAAAACAAGUUAAGAAGCUGAGCUCUCCUGUGCUUUUGUUAGAAAAAUUUUUCCAUAUCUGCGGAAUCCUAGCAAAGAGAAAGAUUGCAUGCUGGGAUGCAUACAGAGCUUCGAACAGAAUGGGAUCAAUUUGACCGCCUAAAAUAGUUGGCGCUACAGCACAAUAUAGUAAUGGCCUGAUCCAUGUCACUGUAGGCACAGGUUGUGAAAAGUAGUAGAUAAUAGCAACUAAAAUGAUAGCUUGGAUCAAAAGGAACGCCAAUUCUCCAUAAGCCGAAAAGGGAAGGCCUUUGUGAAGACAAUAAGCAAGAGCUAUAGUAUAACCUACGGCUUCUAGCUCAAAGGCGACAACACUAAGUCCUCUGACACUUCUAUGCCUUAAAAUUUUCAUUAUCUGAGGAACUUUGACGGUGGUGGAGGCGGCGACGAUGCAAUAGCCAAGGAGGUUGGAGAUGAGAGGAAGCAAACAGUCCUUGUCAGGGAAUUUACCGUGGAGUAGAGAUCCGAAUGCGCAGCUGAAAUCAAUCCCUAAAAAA
rnacentral:misc_RNA from 1 species